UUCGCAAUGCCCGAAAGGGUGACAAUGCGACGCCGCGUGUGCGAUGAAGGUCUUCGGAUUGUAAAGCACUGUCAGCCGGGAGGAAGGUGAUUUUCUUUAAUAAAGAGAAUUGCUUGACAGUACCGGCAGAGGAAGCCACGGCUAACUCCGUGCCAGCAGCCGCGGUAAUACGGAGGUGGCAGGCGUUACUCGGAUUGAUUGGGUGUAAAGGGCGUGUAGGUGGUGGAUUAAGUCGGGUGUGAAAUCCCUUGGCUCAACCAAGGAACUGCACUCGAUACUGAUUUGCUUGAGUGAUAGAGAGGUAAGCGGAAUUCCCGGUGUAACAGUGAAAUGUGUAGAUAUCGGGAGGAACACCAGUGGCGAAGGCGGCUUACUGGCUAUCUACUGACACUGAAACGCGAGAGCUAGGGGAGCAAACAGGAUUAGAUACCCUGGUAGUCCUAGCCGUAAACGAUGGGCACUAAGUAGAGGGGUUUU
rnacentral:rRNA from 1 species